rnacentral:lncRNA from 1 species
UUGGCUAUAAUACUUUUUAUACAUUCGGCACAUUGUGAUUGUGAUGAUCAAAUUUGAAAAACGAAAAUCCGACCAUCAGAUCUGACCAUCAUGAUAAAAUACAUGUAUGAGAAAAAAUUCAACUUGAUCCGACAAGGUUAAGGGCUCGAUCCGGACGGUCAAUCCCGUAAGUCAAACCCUAAACGCAAGGAAAAGGCCAUUGGACCGUCUAAAUUACGAAUUUUCGCCGGACCUUCAACUGAAAAUAGUUUCAAAUCGAUGAGACGCAACAAUUUGUAUAAAAAUUUUACGGAAAAUAACCACCAAAGAUAGGGCUACCCAUAGGGAGAAAGAAAGGAAAAUUGCAUUGACCGCAACUACGAGCAUCGAGACUUUACCGGAAUACCGUGAUUUUUCAACCGAAAACGUAUUUCACCAUUCUGGUCAUAUCUUAUUUCACGACUUUUUUGCAUUUGAAGGUUCUACGUAUAGUUUGUUUUUGAAACGGAACAUUUACUUGGUAAACAAGUUAUACAACAUUAGUAGGCACCUUGUGAUUGUGAUGAUCAAACUUGAGAAAUGAAAAUCCGAUCGUUAGAUCUGACCAUCAUGAUAAAAUACAUGUAUGAGAAAAAAUUCAACUUGAUCCGACAAGGUUAAGGGCUCGAUCCGGACGGUCAAUCCAGUAAGUCAAACCCCUAAACGCAAGGAAAAGGUCAUUGGACCGUCUAAAUUACGUAUUUUGGUCGGACCUUCAACUGAAAAUAGUUUCAAAUCAAUGAGACACAACAAGUAGUAUAAAAAUUUUACAGAAAAUAACCACCGAAGGUAGGGCUACCCAUAGGGAGAAAGAAUGAAAAAUUGCAUUGACCGCAACUAUCGGCACCGAGACUUUACCGGAAUACCGUGAUUUUUCAACUGUAGAUGUAUUUCACCAUUCUGGUCAUAUCUUAUUUAACGACCUUUUUACGUUUGAAGGUUCUACGUAUAGUUUGUUUUUGAAACGGAACAUUUACUUAACACUAGGUAAACAAGUUAUACAACAUUAGUAGGUGUGUUGUGAUUGUGAUGAUCAAACUUGAGAAACGAAAAUCCGACCGUCAGAUCUGACCAUCAUGAUAAAAUACAUGUAUGGGAAAAAAUUCAACUUGAUCCGACAAGGUUAAGGGCUCGAUCCAGACGGUCAAUCCCGUAAGACAAACCCCUAAUCGCACGGAAAAGGUCAUUGGACCGUCUAAAUUACGUAUUUUGGCCGGACCUUCAACUGAAAAUAGUUUCAAAUUGAUGAGACGCAAUAAGUCGUAUAUUAGGGUAUUCGUCGGCUAAGGUUUAGGGUUUAGCCGACGAAAUAUUAGGGUAUUCGUAUAUUAGUGUAUUACAAAUCGAUCAACUCAAAUAAAACUCAAAAUCAACAUAUAUACACAUAUACGUACCUAUAUAUAGCUCCAAAAACUAAUUAUGGACAGAUUUCGACAACACCCAAACUUUUUCUCCCGUUUUUUUUUCCUAGAUGAGCUGUUGUCCAGAUCUGCAAAUAUAAGGCACUUUAGCCGACGAAAUUUUAUAAUUUCGUCGGCUAAACUUUUAUAUAGACGUCGGCUAAAGUUCACAAACUAUAGCCGACGAAAAAAACGCUGGCACCAGUCAGGUUCUCUUCCUCUCCUCGGCGCAAUCCUCCCUAUGUUGGUGGGUGAGGACGACUCGAGCAGAGCUGUGCAAUUCGAGCGCCACAAUGAGGGCGGCGACCCAAUUUUCAACCUGAUCGAAAUUCUCACUUCCGGCGGCGGUGACGAGACUUGAAACCGGUCAAGAUAGAAGCUCUUUGGCGCCCUGGUUAGACUUAUGGUAGUCUUGAAGCUCGAUUCGAAGCUUGGUUGUGCAGAGUUGGGUUUCAAACUUUCCGGUGAGUUUCUAGCAUGCUCCAACCGAAUUGGAGGUUACUCCAGGUAUGAAAGUUGCUCCCCUUACCUUGAUGUUCAUGUUGGGUAUAGUGGUUGUGCUUUUGUUGCAGGUUUGUGUGGUGGUGCGUGGGGCCCACUCGUUGUCGUCUGUGGUGGUGGUGGGUGGCGAUGCGUCCAGCAGGGGUUGGGAGGUCUGUUGUAAUUGUUAGCUUGUGCUCGUCGAUACGAGCACGUUGGCAUGUCUUGAGGUUUUGUUUGGAUCAAGUUUUGCAUCCUAGGUUUAAAGUUAAGUUGAAAAUCGUGUGAGGUUGUUAAGCUAUGGUGUAUGAGCUUUAAAAAUCUCGUUAACUAUUAAUAGGUUGGUGAGGGUUCCUAUGACCUUGGGAGGUCUCGGAAGAAGGGUUGUCUUGAAGGACAAGACCUUGGGUCAAGGGUAGAGUCUCGAUUCAAGGGGGAAGUGUUUUGGGCAUGUUGGUUACUAAACUGAACACUGUAUUAAUAGGUGGUUAUCAGGAGCUUAGUGGUGCUUUCAUUUGUCUUUGUGUGAAGACGCAGUGGGAGUUAAGGUGAGUAAAUCUCACAUGGGUUCAUAAAGGAACCGAGUUUACUUUAUAG